rnacentral:lncRNA from 10 species
ACGGAAGGUGGCCCGGUUGUCGGCCGGCGGCUGAGGCCUGGGCGCCCCCUCCCCAGAUCCCCGCUCCGCUCCCAGGGCUCCGCACUACACCGAUCUUACUUUUUCUCUCCACCGGAGCUUCGGGGGAUGAUCCGACGAUUAAACAGAGGAGCCAGAAAGCUCUAGCUGUCAUUUUUGCAGACAGGGUUCCCAGGCUCUAAAAGUGAGCCUGGGCUUUUGCUUGCUUUCUCUCCUCUAACCCCUUCUCCACACCCGCGUCCCCGUUCAUGCUAAUGAGGGGCAGCCUUUGGGGAAACGGGAAUCACUCGCUGAGCAGACCAUUGGAACAAAACCGAGCCGCAGGGAUUUCUCCCUCUUCCUUCCUAAGGGGGACGAGCACAUGGCCUCGCAAAGUUGUCCCCGAGAAUGUCUGUCCUGUGAUCUGCGGGCGAGGAUAGCAUCACAGCCUAAACUUUAAACUCGUGUGCGUUUGCGCGCUGCGGUGGGGGCAGCAGAGGGUGGGGUGACAAGUGCGGAGAAUAAGGGUGUUUCGGGACUGAGGGACUGAGUGGGGGAGAAAGAGUGAUGGCCGCUUUUUUCUAGAUUAGGUCAACAACAAAUAGGAAAAUAGUGCUUAAGACAGCGUGGGUUUGUGGAAGGGAGGAGAUUCCAGAUGACAGAGAAUGUAUCCUGGAAUGUGUAUGUUAGGCAAUUUCUAGAGACACCAAGUCACUGCUUCCUAAGUUUAGUAAAACUGUUUCAUUAUAUAUGACAGCUCACUGUAACCUCUGCCUCCCG